GAUAUAGAUCAGUUGGUAGAGCAUGUAAUAUCAGGGUUGUGGGUUCAAGUCCCACGUUGGGCA
rnacentral:tRNA from 1 species